GCAGUGAGCCGAGAUCGCGCCACUGCACUCCAGCCUGGCCGACAGAGCGAGACUCCAUCUCCAAACAAAAAUAAUAAUAAUAACCCUGGAUCCUACCCUUUUAUUGAAAAGAUUUUGGAUGCUGACAAAAAAAAAAAAGGAUACAGGUUUGACCUAGUCACAUAUUCCACAACCAGCAGCAUGCUAAAUACUAUAGGAGUUAACAAAAAAAUCAUUAAGACAUAACCCCAUCCUCUAAGAAAUACAAUGUUUGUAGAAAUAGGAGUAUCUGUUUCGCAUUCCUUACUUGGUGGAGGUAGAAUGAGAGCCAAUGAUUCUUCACCAUCACACAGCCGGUUAUCAAGAUAGCCCUUCAGUCACAAGCAAUGCCCAGUGAACUGCAGAUUCUCAUCAGUUCAGAACAAGGCCACACAUGGAGACAAAGUAUGAUGAAUAGUCUGUUACUAUAACCCAGAGGAGCUGACCUUGGCAUUGGUGAGACCCAAAUUAGUAUCAAAGCUCAUAUUUCGUUGAAUAUCCUCUCUCAUAGCCACAGCUUUGACCAGAUGUAUGGAAGCUAAGAAAACAACCUCUUACCUUUAGCAAAUUUGAACUCAGUCAUAAAACUUUUACAAAUAAUUGAAUUAUAUAAAAGAGCUUAUUCUCAACUUAUUUUUCUUUCUUUUUUCCCUUCUUUUAGGACUCAGAUCCUAAACAAUUUCAUUGUAAUAUUAACAAUUACAUGAUUCAUGGUACAUGAUUUUAGGUUUCUUGGUUGUUACAUAACAGAAAUUUAGAAGUUUUUGCAAAUAGGCUCCAUUAUAUUUCAAGUGCUUUUUACUUAAUGAUUUUUUUAAACAAAUUCAGACAAACAAUACUUAACUGGCUUCUAGAAAAUUGUUCUAUUUGAUAUAUCAGUACCUUUCAUUUACCUUUUAAAUAAGUCCUCGAGAAAUAAACUCAGGACAAUUUUAGUUUGCGUGUGUGUGUGUGUGUGUGCACGUGUGCACAUAUGUGUGUUCCUUCCUAAAACCUUCUUUGUGGACAGUCCAAUUCUAAAAUGUAAUUGGAAUUCUGGAAUAUUGUGGCAUGACAUUCUGUGGAAAUUUGACUACUGAAUCCAUUUAUACAACCCAUUUAGAUAAUGUAUGCAUAUUUUCCUUUUUCAAAUAGAAGUAAAUGUGAUGUGAGUACUGUUUCAAAUACUAGUACCAGAAGUUUUUUAAAAAGGUCAAUUUUGCUGAUACAAUUUUGGAGUCUAUUAUGAAUAAAUUGCCCUUUCUCAUGUAUCUUCAUUAUAUGUUAUGCUUCCUAAUAUCCACCAUUUCCCCCCAAAUUUGAAUAAAGUAGAGAUAUUCAAAAUCUUGGCUAAUAAAAGGAAACAUACUCCAUUUACUAACUAGAAAAGUAAGUUCCUUUACUAAAUUUAAGUUAGAUGAUAUACCAAUAUAUUAUGAAAAUUGGUUCUGUUAAUUUUUCCUUUCAAAUUAUUUUCUCUAUUACAAGUUCUACACCUUUAAGAAAGAUUUUUAAUGAUG